UAUUCUUUUCCAAAGGGUUUUCUCUUAUUUAUUUUCCUGCCCAACCCCCGCCCCCCAAAUAAGGGGAAAAAAAAUGCAUGCUUUCUCCGUCAACCAUAUAGAAGAAAGCAAAAAUUAUACUAGGAAAAUAACCACUACAACAUUUGGACAACCAUCCCUCCAGAUAUCUCUUGAUGCAUAGAUAUAGAUGGAGAAAUAAAAAUAAUUCUUCACAAGAGGGAUCAUACUCAGGUGCCAAUUUUGCAAUCUGUUUUUUUUACUCAACAACAUGUCCUAGGUUUUUCUAAUUGGUUCUGCCACCACCCACGCCUAGGUAGUAGCAUAGUAUGUAGUUCAAUAACAGCUGUAAACCAGGCACUGUGUCAAGAAUUUUAUCUGCAUUAGCUCAUUUAAGUUCCACCAGAACCCAAUGAAAGACGUUCUAUUUUUAUCAUGCCCAUUUUACAGAUGAAGAAAUAGGCUUAAAGAACUGUCUGCCCAAGGUCACAUGGUUAGGAAGUGAUGGGGCUGGCACUCAAGAACUCAAGGGGGUUUUCUGGGUCUCCAAACCGGGCUUAUACAAAAUAAUACAUGUGAAUGUAUCAUCUUAUAAAAAAAUAAAGUGUGAAAGUCCCCUUUACAUUUCCACAGGGGUUUGAUGUAUCAGUUGAGGUUCAACUGCAUAUAAUGGAAAACCAAACUAGCAGGCUUUAACAAGAUAGGGAUUUAUUUUUCCUCACAAGAUAGGGAUUUAUUUUUCCAUUAGAUAUAAAAGAGGUUAGUAUGGUGCGCCCAAGGUCGUUGUCUUGAGAAAAAACAGCGUUUAACUUUUUGCUCUGCAUUCUCAGUUUGUGGCUUCCAUACCUAAGGUCUCCAUAUGGUCUGCUAUGGUCCCUGAAGUUCCAGCCAUCAUGUCUGCAUUCCAGGUAACAAGAAAGAGAAAGC
rnacentral:lncRNA from 1 species